CCUAAUUUCAUUAAUUGACCUCCUCUCGAAAUGAGAAUGUGAGUUCAUGCCAUCAGUUCCACAAUUCCACCCUUAACUCGAAAAAGUACUGGUAAGCAAGUCAGCGACAAUAAAGAUUUGAGAAAUUGCAUUCAACGGUCGCCAGACAACCAAUACAAGAAAUGGCAAUUCUUUUGGGUCUUUGCUUGACACGAAACUGUCUACAUCUUAACUUUCCU
rnacentral:lncRNA from 1 species